UUAAAUGGCUUGCCCACGGACACUGAGCUUAACGUUACUUUGUAGUUUGCCAAGGCUGUUGUUGCGUUUUCAGCUAUAGUAGCGGGAGAGUUGUAAAUAUCGCUGCGUGGGAACGUCUCCUCCUCUCUGCAUGUUAGCUUCGCUGCAGCUGCAGCUGUAGCGCAAGUUUGCUAUUCCACAACUUAGAUAACGUUAGUUUCAUUACUUGCUGUGUAGUUGUUCGCUCUAACGUUAUAUCAUUUAUUUACUUGUCAUGGAAUUGGAUUUGUCCAGCAUCGCUUACCCACUUUCAGGAGUAUUUUUUGUAUCAGUGUCACGUUGGUUUUGUCACUGCCUCGCCCUUUUGGAGACUAGCGGUGGGUCCUGAGUGGGAGAAGUGAACGCGAACCCCGAACAGGGGCGUGGCCGCUUUGAUUGACAGGUGUCUCUGGCCUCUGUCACUCCUAGCCCAGUGACGGUUUAUUGGAGAGAGAACCUCCACGAAGUACGUGCUUCAAUUGGUGCCAGAGGAGCUGAUUGCAGAACCCUCCAGAUGUGAUUUGUCCCAGCUUCCAGUGACGCUCUUCAGCACCUGCUUUGCUCAGCCUUUUCUUUUUACUCACAACACCUGAACACCACUGAUGCGAAAUUAUGACACUGGGUUCUUAUCAUUAAAAUAGCUCUUACAACACUUAUUGACUUGUUUCAAGUCAUACAAAACAACUUUUACAUUUGUAACCUUUUAAUAUCGAUGUUUUCAUGAAUGCAAGACAAGAGUUUAAUUUGUUAAACUAUUGCUUGUGUAUUAGGAAUAAUUUGUUAUAAAAUUGAUCAGACUAAUUAUACUUAAAAUAAAAUCACAUUCUUCAUUCA